UACAGAGGUGGCAAGCGUUGUUCGGAAUUACUGGGCGUAAAGGGCGCGUAGGCGGCCUUCUAAGUCAGACGUGAAAUCCCCCGGCUUAACCUGGGAACUGCGUCUGAUACUGGGAGGCUUGAGUAUGGGAGAGGGAUGUAGAAUUCCAGGUGUAGCGGUGAAAUGCGUAGAUAUCUGGAGGAAUACCGGUGGCGAAGGCGGCAUCCUGGACCGGCAUUGGCGCUGAGGAGCGAAAGCCAGGGGAGCAAACGGG
rnacentral:rRNA from 1 species